CCCACAGAAACAAAGAUCGCCGGUUUACAACCAACAAAACUCCCGCGUUUUACAAGGCAGCAAACCCUUUUGUAGUUUCAUCAAAACCAUUGUCCCCAAGAAAUGGCAAAACCGAAUCUUUCAGACUCAGAAACAGAAGAGAGAAACUCAGGCUCAAGCUCGGACUCAGGUGGCUUUCCGGUGGAAAUGGAACCCCAAAGCACCGGGAAAAUCACAGAGUAUGAGCAACAAAGAAUGAAGAGAAUUCAAGAAAACAAAGCAAGAAUGGAGGCUAUGGGUCUCCAUAAUAUGGCAACUUCUUUGAUGGGUUCUUCCCAAAAACCCCAGAAAAAAGGCAAGGACAAAAAGGGGAAAAAGAAAGUGGUUGAUGAAGAUGAAGAUUAUGAGCCAGCUCAAAGUGAGGACCUUUCAAGUGCUUCGGGCGAAGAAGAUGAACAAAAUGAUGUGGAUUAUGAUGUUUCAAAGUCCCAAUUGAAAAAGUCAAAGAAAAAAACUCAAACUCCUAAGAAGAGAGUUUCUAAUACAACGUUACCAACUGACAAGGAUUUUGUCGAUGAUGAUGCCGCCUUAAUGCAGGCUAUUGCCUUGUCACUACAAGAUUCUGCAGGUUUUCUGAAUCUUGCAAAUAAAGUGCCUACACAAGUCACCAAUGCAGAUUCUGCUCAUAAGGCCAGUAACGAAAAAACUCUUUCCAAAAAGGCCAGUAACGAAAAAGUAGGUUCCUGCAAUCAGGGAGAUACUACUGGGAAAAGGAAGAGAAAACAACAGACAAGAAAUCGAGUGCAGAUGACUGAGGAUGACUUGAUUAUGCAUUUCUUUCAGUUUGAUGCAUCAAAUUUCUUUGGUUUCUAUUCUAGAUUGAUUGUAUAUGCUCCACCAAUUAGUUGGUAUCUUUCUCACAGAAGCUGGAAAAGGGAGUAUAAGUCUCAGAGAUUUACGGAGAGUGGCAGCUUCCCAUGAUUUUACAUGGUCAGAUGAGGAGAUGGCAAAGAUGAUACAUUGCUUUGAUUCUAACGGAGAUGGAAAGUUGAGCCUGGAUGAUUUUCGCAAGAUUGUGGUCAGAUGCGAUAUGAUAAAAGGUUCCGAAGAUGCUGCUUGAUGAUGUAUUCAAAGAGUACUUAAAUCUUUUAAAGAAAUGGAGGACUGUGUGUCUAUUGGACAUAACUGGCUGACUUCAUGUCACUACCUUAGUGAGAGGGGAAAUGUUAUAGCUAAAAAGUUAGACAACUUGGAAAAAAAAUAAAAAAGUUCUCGGAAUCUCGCACAAGAUGAACUGACAAUUGCAACGGGAUUCAAAUGAUGGAUUCAGAAGAGAAGUCAUAUAGUGAUUUUUGCUUAGAAUGGAAAGGAAAGAAGGGUUAUUUUAACCUAAGAUAUUAGUACAAUCAAUAGUAUCCUCUCCUUUUGCUUUCAUUCUGAAUUCUUCCAGCCAACAUGUUGUAAAUUCUUCAAAAAGACGGCCAUUGAAUGUUGGAACGCAAUGACCCCAUAUUAACUCUCUGGUCAUAGGAGGUCUUAUCCUCCGUUAACUUUAACCAGUUAUUUUGCUUUGUUUUCCUUCUUAAGAGGAGCUUUGCUCAUUCUUGUAUAUGCAUUACUGUGUUAACGUAUCAAAGCCCUUCAAAUUUGAUGGAA